CCGUGGACCAGAAUCGCCGUGCACGUCUGAUCCGUGGAUUAGGUUGUUGCCUUUUCCGGUUGGUGGGGUCAGGGGGAAAUGGAUGCACCGUCUAGUGUCUUCUCGGCCUAUUGCAGGUUGGGGACUGGAGUCGUCGAGAGAAGGCGAGCCGGCGACAGACCAUGGAGUUCUUGAUGCAGUCCAUACGCGGAUCCUCUUUCCUGGAGGAGGCAGGCGAGAGUAUGGUGCCACCUCCUGUGCCGGAGCAGCAACUGCCGGAUCAGGGUGUGGUGGAGCAGGCACCGGCGAUGAGAGAUGGACUGGUGGCGGAGCAGGGUGCGGGGGAGCUGGCACCGGCGGAUGGCAGCGCGGACGCCCAGAUCUUGGCGGUCGCUGACGCGGCGGUGGAAAGGAGGGAGAGAUCUCCCCCGGCUUUGGAACUGUCAACCGGAAAGAUGAAUCCCUGAGCCCCUAGGUGGAACAAAAGGUUGACGAUUGGAGCUGCAGCACCUUGCCCAAACCCGCGCCAAUGCAUUUGAGAAGGCUGUCAGGAGCUUUGUUGGGAACCCAGCUGAUAAUAUGAUUACAUUAGUUAUUGGCACUAGAUUUGACUCGGUGGGUGAGGCGUAUGACUUCUAGAAUUUGUACUCAUGGGACAAGGGCUUUGGCAUUUGAUACAAUAAGAUCCAGCUGAACGUGGAGAGGACAAAAUGGAUGCAGGAAAUAGUUUGUGGGUGUGCGGUGACAGCUGGUGUCGAGAACACAGGGUCCAAGCUUACAGUGAAGGUAGAAUCAAGAAUCUGAUGUGGGCAAGUGGGCGCAGCAGGCUGUAGUACUCGUUUGGGGAUGUCAUAACAUUCGACGCAACAUACAGUACCAACCUAUAUGACAUGCCUUUCGGCCUAUUUGUUGGGGUUAACAAACACUUCCAGAGUGUGAUUAUGGCUGGUGUUCUUGUUUGCGACGAGACCUAAGAGAGUUUCAAGUGGGUUUUCUCAGAAUUCGUAAGAAUGAUGGGUGGUUCUCCACUCGUGACCAUACUUGCAGACCAAAACCGUGCUAUGGAAUUGGCUAUCGAUAACAUUAUGUCGGGGGUGACACACCGAUGGUGCAAAUGGCACAUUUUGAAGUAAGCAAAGGAGUCGUUGGGUGCUCUGUACACAAAGAAAGUGAUUUCAGGGCUGGAUUUUAUAAAGUGAUAAACCAUAUGCUGACAGAAGAUGAAUUUGAUUAAGGGUGGGAAUUACUGUUGGACAAAUACAAACUAAGGGCACACCCAUAAAUGAUUCGGCUGUUCGAGAUUCAGAAGAAAUGGGCUAAACCUUAUUUCAAGGGUUUUUUGUACAAAGAUGACCAGCUCACAGAGGAGUGAGAGUGCGAACCAUAUGCUGAAGAAUCACGUGCCUCCUGGGUGCCCAAUGCACAUGUUUGUGCACAAAUACUUGAGGCUACAAUUCGACCGGGAAUCAGAGGAGAACUAUGAAGAGAAAAGAAUGCAAAUUAGAAGGCCACUCAUGAGAGCAAACCUGGCAGUGGAGAGGCAUGCUAGCAAGAUAUAUACAAGGGCCAUGUUUGAGCAGUUUGGUCAUAUAUUGUACGAAUGUGAAGCUUAUCAUGUGGAAGAGAUCGAGACACACAAGACAUAUGUUGCAAUCCAUAGCGAAGCAGAAAAGAGUAAGUGGUGUAGAGUGUCAUACAAGGUAACUAUGCUUGACGGAGGCAAUGAAUUCGACUGUGAGUGCGGACAAUUUGCACACAUGGGCCUACUUUGCAGUCAUGUGUUGAAAGUUUGUGCUUAAUGAUUGCCGGUUCAUUUUGAUUCAUUUCUGGUUGAAUGAUGGAUUUCCCGAUCCGGUAUUGAGUUGUGGCUUUUCUGUCACAGCUGCUAGAUUUCAUUUGGGCCAAAGAAAUACAAGCGAAGCAUCGUGAAGAGGUGGACGAAGGAUGCUCGGGACAUACUGCUGCACACUUAGCACAAUAUCAGAAAGACAGUAUGCAGAACAUCCCGUACGCAUAAAGGCACUUCACCAUGUAAUGCAUGCGAUGGAGCUGGUCAGGCUCGGUGACACCAGUGUGGAAGUGUACAAUCGGUUGAUGGACCUCUUCAAGUCGAACUUGUCAGUAAUGUUACCGUACGCAGAAAUUAGAGAUGGUCUUGGUCUAGAGGAUAGGCUUGCAGACAAGGGAGAUGUGGUGAACCAAUCAAACCCAAUGAUAGUAGUAAGAGAACAGAACCAUAGUGGGCAGCAAGCUAUGGCUGAUUUUGGAGAGACUGACUCGAUGUCAAGGACAAGCAACUGCUUGUCCUCUGUUUCAUACUUGCAUGUUGCCUUCCAUGAGCUUUUGACUGUUUUCUGUUCAGCCCUGCAUGCUGUCGCUACUUGUAUAUAUCGUCGCAUUAAAAUUUCUUGAUUGAUCAGAAGAGCUUCUUUGUGGUGGUGGUGCCAUUAUUGCUUAUAAUUUUUUUAUGUAGGUAAAAAUGCUUUGGUAUUGACGUCAUGUAAUUAGAUGUAGCAGUGGCAACUCGUACGCCCAAGGAGAGAGAUGGAGCUAGCUUCAGCCUUAUUUUGAACUAAUCUCAGGGGGGUCACACUGGGUGCAAGCAUCGGCUGCGGCGCUGAGUUUUCAGAAGGGGGGGUUGGUUCAGAGGCAAAUGUGAACCAGGCUGCGUCUGCACGAUCAGAUGGGAGUGUUGUUUCCCGCAUGUUGAAUGGAUCAUUUCAGAGCUCGCCAGUUCACGGCCAUGCGCUGGUGGCUACUGUCUACAUCGAUGAUAAGCUUCAUGUUGAUCCGGAGGCUGCUAUGGAACCAGAAGCAGGUGGAGUGGAGGGGACUGGCGAGCACGAUCCAACUGCUAUCGUAUCUGCUGACUCAUGGCCAUGACAGCGAGCAAUGGCAGCAGAGGAAUCUUGCAGUGGAAGGAUGCGGGAGGAGCUGAAUUAAUGGGUGCCGUGGGGGGACGUCCGUUUGGUGGCUGACGACUGAGCCGUGGCUCAUGAUGCAACUCUUCAUCUGAGCCGUGGUUGUGACAAUGACGGCCGUUGCAUUUAAUGCGGUGGUUGAGUGGGCCACAACCUGCGAAAAAGCCCGGCAUACUCCUCCAAAUACAGAGUAAAAUACUGACAGUGGUCCGAAUCUUAGCGCUACACAACGGCUGAGAUAAAGGGAACAUCUGAGCUCGAGCUCAGAAUAUGACUUUCGCGCUGAAGAAACGAAGCCUCGGACACUCAGAAGCUUUCUGUUUUGCUUCCUGUAGCGUGUUCCUUUUUUUAGGGGAGCCUGUAGUAGUGAUCUCUGUUAUCAUCGUACUCCCUCCGUUUUUAUUUACUCUGCAUAUUAGGUUUCACUGAAGUCAAACUUUGUAAAGUUUGACCAAGUUUAUAGAAAAAAAUAUAAACAUUUAACAUAACAAAUCUA